rnacentral:rRNA from 1 species
AACAAACGGCUGGCGGCGUGUCUUAAGCAUGCAAGUUGAGCGGCAAGGAGGAGAGAUCCUCCCUAGAGCAGCGGACUGGUGAGUAACGCGUGGGUAAUCUAUCUUAGGCAUGGGGAUAGUCACUAGAAAUAGUGGGUAAUACCGAAUAAGUUCCAUAAGGGGGAGGACUUAUGGAAGAAAGGUGCUACGGCACUGGCCUUAGGUGAGCUCGCGUCCCAUUAGCUAGUUGGUGAGGUAAAGGCCCACCAAGGCGAUGAUGGGUAGCCGGCCUGAGAGGGUGUACGGCCACACUGGGACUGAGAUACGGCCCAGACUCCUACGGGAGGCAGCAGCUAAGAAUAUUCCCGCAAUGGACGGAAGUCUGACGGAGCGACGCCGCGUGGAUGAAGAAGGCCGAAAGGUUGUAAAGUUCUUUUGCUAGGGGAGAAUAAGUGUGGGAGGGAAUGCCUGCACGAUGACAAGGACUAGCGAAUAAGUCCCGGCCAACUACGUG